CAGAUUGAACGCUGGCGGCAUGCUUUACACAUGCAAGUCGAACGGUAACAGGGAGCUUGCUCCGCUGACGAGUGGCGAACGGGUGAGUAAUGCGUCGGAACGUGCCGAGUAGUGGGGGAUAACUAUCCGAAAGGAUAGCUAAUACCGCAUACGCUUUGAGAAGGAAAGCAGGGGAUCGCAAGACCUUGCGCUAUUCGAGCGGCCGACGUCUGAUUAGCUAGUUGGUGAGGUAAAGGCUCACCAAGGCAUCGAUCAGUAGCGGGUCUGAGAGGAUGAUCCGCCACACUGGGACUGAGACACGGCCCAGACUCCUACGGGAGGCAGCAGUGGGGAAUUUUGGACAAUGGGCGCAAGCCUGAUCCAGCCAUGCCGCGUGUCUGAAGAAGGCCUUCGGGUUGUAAAGGACUUUUGUCAGGGAGGAAAUCCCUAGCGCUAAUAUCGCUGGGGGAUGACAGUACCUGAAGAAUAAGCACCGGCUAACUACGUGCCAGCAGCCGCGGUAA
rnacentral:rRNA from 1 species